GUUUGAUCCUGGCUCAGGAUGAACGCUAGCUACAGGCUUAACACAUGCAAGUCGAGGGGCAUCAGGAUGUAGCAAUACAUUGCUGGCGACCGGCGCACGGGUGAGUAACACGUAUCCAACCUGCCUUUUACUCGGGGAUAGGCUUUCGAAAGAAAGAUUAAUACCCGAUGGUAUAAUAUUUCCGCAUGGGAUUAUUAUUAAAGAAUUUCGGUAAAAGAUGGGGAUGCGUUCCAUUAGGCAGUUGGCGGGGUAACGGCCCACCAAACCUUCGAUGGAUAGGGGUUCUGAGAGGAAGGUCCCCCACAUUGGAACUGAGACACGGUCCAAACUCCUACGGGAGGCAGCAGUGAGGAAUAUUGGUCAAUGGGCGGAAGCCUGAACCAGCCAAGUAGCGUGAAGGAUGACUGCCCUAUGAUUUUAAACUUCUUUUAUAGGGGAAUAAAAUGAGCCACGUGUGGCUUUUUGUAUGUACCCUAUGAAUAAGGAUCGGCUAACUCCGUGCCAGCAGCCGCGGUAAUACGGAGGAUCCGAGCGUUAUCCGGAUUUAUUGGGUUUAAAGGGAGCGUAGGUGGACAUGUAAGUCAGUUGUGAAAGUUUGCGGCUCAACCGUAAAAUUGCAGUUGAUACUGUGUGUCUUGAGUACAGUAGAGGUGGGCGGAAUUCGUGGUGUAGCGGUGAAAUGCUUAGAUAUCACGAAGAACUCCGAUUGCGAAGGCAGCUCACUGGACUGUUACUGACACUGAGGCUCGAAAGUGUGGGUAUCAAACAGGAUUAGAUACCCUGGUAGUCCACACAGUAAACGAUGAAUACUCGCUGUUUGCGAUAUACGGCAAGCGGCCAAGCGAAAGCAUUAAGUAUUCCACCUGGGGAGUACGCCGGCAACGGUGAAACUCAAAGGAAUUGACGGGGGCCCGCACAAGCGGAGGAACAUGUGGUUUAAUUCGAUGAUACGCGAGGAACCUUACCCGGGCUUAAAUUGCAUUUGAAUGUUGGGGAAACCCAACAGCCGUAAGGCAAAUGUGAAGGUGCUGCAUGGUUGUCGUCAGCUCGUGCCGUGAGGUGUCGGCUUAAGUGCCAUAACGAGCGCAACCCUUAUCUUUAGUUACUAACAGGUCAUGCUGAGGACUCUAGAGAGACUGCCGUCGUAAGAUGUGAGGAAGGUGGGGAUGACGUCAAAUCAGCACGGCCCUUACGUCCGGGGCUACACACGUGUUACAAUGGGGGGUACAGAAGGCAGCUACACGGCGACGUGAUGCUAAUCCCAAAAGCCUCUCUCAGUUCGGAUCGAAGUCUGCAACCCGACUUCGUGAAGCUGGAUUCGCUAGUAAUCGCGCAUCAGCCACGGCGCGGUGAAUACGUUCCCGGGCCUUGUACACACCGCCCGUCAAGCCAUGGGAGCCGGGGGUACCUGAAGUACGUAACCGCAGGAGCGUCCUAGGGUAAAACUGGUGACUGGGGCUAAGUCGUAACAAGGUAGCCGUACCGGAAGGUGCGGCUGGAACACCUCCUUUCUGGAGCGAUACCGCGAUUUUAAUUGACAGUUGACAAUUGACAGUUGACAAUUCAACUCUGAUUGUUCAUACAAUUAAAGACAUAUGACUUUAUUAAGGUUCUAACUGUACUACUGGUACUUGUUUAUUUAUAGAUAUAGAUCAACCAUCUAUAGAAGUAUAGAUAGAGAUAAACAAGAGAAAACAGAAGCCGGGUCUAAUAAUAGGCUCAGUUUGAACUAGUCCUAUAGCUCAGUUGGUUAGAGCGCUACACUGAUAAUGUAGAGGUCGGCAGUUCAACUCUGCCUGGGACUACUUCUCGAAUUGACAAUUGAAAGUUGAAAAUGAUAAAUCCUUGUGAUUAAGUCGUUCUUGAUUCUUUCUUCUCAAUUCUUCGAAGGGGGAUUAGCUCAGCUGGCUAGAGCAUCUGCCUUGCACGCAGAGGGUCAACGGUUCGAAUCCGUUAUUCUCCACUCUCUUUAGGUUUUUGAGUUUAUAUGUUUCUGAGUUGGUAAGUUUUAAAACUUACGACCUAAUGAACAGACAAACUGACAAACUAAAAAGAAACGAUCUUUGACAUGUUGUACAUAAAAAAAGUAAAUUUAGUAAAGAGCUAAAAGUAUAUAUCGAACCGUACGCUGUUGUUUUAACAGUAUAAAGGCAAGAUAAUGAAAGUAAGAAAGGGCGCAUGGCG
rnacentral:rRNA from 1 species